AAAUACUAAAAAAAAAAUAUGAUAACAAGAUCUGGUAGUGUCGUAGAAGAAAUUUAACAUUCAUGAAGUUAGCAAUAGCUAAAACAAUUUACAUGUACUUAGCAAAAGCAUAAAAUCUUCUAUCAACAAUUUAUAACAAUCAAAGUUCUUAUCAAAACACUGCAACUUCUCUAAAGUAAGUCUUUUAUCCACAAGAUCUUGAUAUUCUUCAGUCCAACACCUUAGGUUGUCCUUCAUGAUCGAAACUGCCCAUUGAGCACGUGUUUUUGGUCCCAAAUUUCCAUCUACAUUAUAUUGUACAGGGUUCAUAAAUGUCAAAGCUUCCAUGAUCAAGCCAACAUAAAUAGUACAAUCAUUAGUUUGACCCUGUCGUGGUGUUAUAGCUUCUUCCAAUGGCAGAUCCAACCUUAGUGGUUCGUUUUCCAGCUCCAUCUUAAAUCUUUUGUUGAUUAGGAGAACAAGAUGGUUCUUCUGUUUUUCAAGCAAAAUUAAUAUGUUAUCAGCUUUUGUUUUCUUAGAAAAAUAAAAUUAUAAACACAAAUCAAUAUGUUAUCAACAUAAACCUACACUGGACAUAGUGACUGAUAACAUGAUGUUAUCAGGGAAACCAAAACUGAUAACAUCAUGUAAUCAGUGAAACCUACACUGGCCAUAGUGACUGAUAACAUGAUGGUAUAUGAUAAGAUACCAAACAAAAAAGAGCUCAUAAAAUGAUGUUAUCAAGGACAACUAUCGUGAUAUCAUCAUGUUACCAGCUUUGGUUUUCUUACAAACAAAAUAAUAAAGAGGUUAUAGUCUUACCCAGGCAAGGUUAUAGUCUUAAUCUUCUGUGUUGGAAUACUCAGCAGUCUCUGGCCACUUCCUGUGAAAAUACUGCAGACAAGAUGAAGAAAUGUUGGUCAAUAUUUGAUUACUAAAGUAAUUUUAAAUCCAACGUAACUCUUUGCAGAGAUUGUCAUGAGAUAAUUUCUUGUUUACAAAAGUUAAAAUCCAGUUAAAGGGUUGGUCCUAGGCAGAGAGCAUAUAUAUGUCGCACUGUCACUUUGUCUUUGAACUUAGUUUGCACAAAUGCAAUUCUCUUAAAUGGGUUGCUUAUUAGCAACCUAAAGUCAAAGAUACUCACUAUGCUGUAUAUGUACAACAGAAUCAAAGGUGAUGUAGCUAUGGUCAGAUACAGAGAUUCUCUGAAAAUGUCAGAAACAGGUCUGAAUUCUGAACAUAACAAAGACUAGAAAAAAGAAUCAAACUAUGAAAUUAUUGUCAAACACAGUUUAUAUAUAAUGUCUGUGACUCAAGAUUGUUUUUUUGGAAAAAAUGAUGUGUUAAAGUUUCUUGACCACAGAUUGUUUAAUCAGUUGUGUACACUUUGAAAUCACAUUUGCAGAACUGCUGGAAAUGCAGAGUACUGCACUUGAGAUAGUUUGUCAUACUGUACACAUUUCUAUAUCUUAUGGACUGUCUGGAAAGCUAGGAAUGAUAGUUGGUUAGUUACAUGGGGGACAGCCUAUAAAAACUGUAAACGUAUUCAACACAAACGGAUUACUGGUCCGAGAAAUGUAGUGUCUUCAACAGUGACUGUAUAGUAGUCUUAUUCUACCAGAAAAAUAAAUUCCAAGUCAACAGAUCAACAACCAUGGGACAGAGAACCAAAGAAAUGAAUGAAAAUAGAACAAGUUCACAACACAGCAUGCACAAAUUUUCAAGAAGUGAUACGGAAAUUGAGUCUAUUGCCUAAAUUUCAAGAACAAUGGAUUGAAGCUCAUGUGGGAGACGGAGAACCUGAUAUAAAAAUGCGAAAAGCAAGUCUUAUGAACAAACCUCGAGGCCAAUGGAUUGAACUUGUAGCUGGAGAAAUCUAUACAGACCAUUGUUUUUCUAUAAAGAAACAUAUUUGUUUUUCUCUCAGUGAAUACCAAGGAGGAAAUUGGAAGUCCGGUCUUCUAAUGAAAGGUGUUGUUCUUCGUCCAAAGAAACGUAUGUGAAUUCAUGGAUGUCAAUAAUCACAAACAUAGUGGAGUAUAGGAUGCGAAAGCAUUGAUAAUAAAGCUGAAAUGAAAGCAAUAAUAGAGUAUAGGAUGUGAAAGUACUAGACCUAGUAGUGUCGUAGAAGAAAUUUAACAUUCAUGAAGUUAGCAAUAGCUAAAACAAUUUACAUGUACUUAUCAAAAGCAUAAAGUCUUCUAUCAACAAUUUAUAACAAUCAAAGUUCUUAUCAAAACACUACAACUUCUCUAAAGUAAGUCUUUUAUCCACAAGAUCUUGAUAUUCUUCAGUCCAACACCUUAGGUUGUCCUUCAUGAUCGAAACUGCCCAUUGAGCACGUGUUUUUGGUCCCAAAUUUCCAUCUACAUUAUCUUGUACAGGGUUCAUAAAUGUCAAAGCUUCCAUGAUCAAGCCAACAUAAAUAGUACAAUCAUUAGUUUGACCCUGUCGUGGUGUUAUAGCUUCUUCCAAUGGCAGAUCCAACCUUAGUGGUUCGUUUUCCAGCUCCAUCUUAAAUCUUUUGUUGAUUAGGAGAACAAGAUGGUUCUUCUGUUUUUCAAGCAAAAUUAAUAUGUUAUCAACUUUUGUUUUCUUAGAAAAAUAAAAUUAUAAACACAAAUCAAUAUGUUAUCAACAUAAACCUACAC
rnacentral:lncRNA from 1 species